CCCUUAGAUGUUCUGGGCUGCACGCGUGUUACAAUCGGGAGUACAACAAGAUUGCAAAUCCUAGUGGAUGAGUGGUUCUUCGAAAUUUUCUGAAGACUGGGGUAGUUGAUUGAAAUUAUUCAACUCAAACGAGGAAUUCCUUGUAAUUGUAAUUCAUUAUAUUGUAAUGAAUACGUCCCUGCCCUUUGUACACACCGCCCGUCGCUCCUACCGAUUGAACGAUCCGGUGAAUUAUUUGGAGUAGCUCUGGAAGUUGCAGAACUUCCUAUGUCACGAAAUUUUGUAAACCUUAUCGUUUAGAGGAAGGAAAAGUCGUAACA
rnacentral:rRNA from 1 species